CAGUGGCUAAGACUGGAUAGGAAGAUAAAAGGCAUCUUUUAUCUUUUAAAAGACCUAGUAAUAGGUAUGCUUUAGGAGGGGCUUGCGCCAUAUUAGUUAGUUGGUAGGGUAAUGGCCUACCAAGACGAUGAUGUGUAGCUGGACUGAGAGGUUGAACAGCCACAUUGGGACUGAGACACGGCCCAAACUCCUACGGGAGGCAGCAGUAGGGAAUUUUCGGCAAUGGAGGAAACUCUGACCGAGCAACGCCGCGUGAAUGACGAAGUACUUCGGUAUGUAAAGUUCUUUUAUCAAGGAAGAAAAGCAAAUGGCGAACCAUUUGUUUGCCGGUACUUGAUGAAUAAGCCCCGGCUAAUUAUGUGCCAGCAGCCGCGGUAAGACAUAAGGGGCAAGUGUUAUCCGGAAUUAUUGGGCGUAAAGGGUGCGUAGGCGGUCUAGUAAGUCAGUGGUGUAAUGGCAACGCUUAACGUUGUCCGGCUAUUGAAACUGCUAAACUUGAGUUAGAUAGAGGCGAGUGGAAUUCCAUGUGUAGCGGUAAAAUGCGUAAAUAUAUGGAGGAACACCAGAGGCGUAGGCGGCUCGCUGGGUCUUAACUGACGCUGAGGCACGAAAGCGUGGGGAGCAAACAGGAUUAGAUACCCUGGUAGUCCACGCCGUAAACGAUGAGUACUAAGUGUCGGGUUAAACCGGUACUGAAGUUAACACAUUAAGUACUCCGCCUGAGUAGUACGUACGCAAGUAUGAAACUUAAAGGAAUUGACGGGACUCCGCACAAGCGGUGGAUCAUGUUGUUUAAUUCGAAGAUACCCGAAAAACCUUACCAGGUCUUGACAUGUUUUUGCAAAAUGAUAGUAAUAUCGUGGAGGUUACCAGAAACACAGGUGGUGCAUGGUUGUCGUCAGCUCGUGUCGUGAGAUGUUAGGUUAAGUCCUAAAACGAGCGAAACCCUUAUCGUUAGUUGCCAGCACGUUAUGGUGGGGACUUUAACGAGACUGCCAAUGAUAAAUUGGAGGAAGGUGAGGAUCACGUCAAAUCAGCAUGCCCCUUAUGACCUGGGCUACAAACGUGAUACAAUGGCUGUUACAAAGGGUAGCUGAAACGCAAGUUCUUGGCCAAUCCCCAAAAACAGUCCCAGUCCGGAUUGAAGUCUGCAACUCGACUUCAUGAAGUUGGAAUCGCUAGUAAUCGCGAAUCAGCAUGUCGCGGUGAAUACGUUCUCGGGGUUUGUACACACCGCCCGUCAAACCA
rnacentral:rRNA from 1 species